AAUGCUAUUGUGGUUCUAUUUUAGGCUUUUGGAUUGUGAAAUAUCACCCCAAAUAUCUGAUGUCUGGUUGCCAUGAGAACAGAUCAGGAGCCCCAGAACCAGUAUUGGAGACACUGAAGUUCAGAGAGGUCCUUCAGCAGACCAUCCGCAGGGAUGUCACUUGGUCCCACCCUGGUAAACAAGCAGAUUUCAAUGCAGUAUGAUGCAGUCUGACACACAAUAGGUGUUCAAAGAUGUUUGUGAAAAUGAAUGAACAAAUGAAUGGGUAAAUUAAAGAAAGCAAAGAAAAAGGUGUGAUCCUAUGGAACAUGCAGACAUUCUUCAUGGACUCAGAGGGAUUUUACUUCAAUCUGGGAAAUGAGAUGGUAGUGAGUGGCAAUCUCUUGAUUUCCAGAAAGGCUGAUAUGUUCCUUAAGAAUGAAUCAUGAUUGGCCUUUUCCAGUCAUGGCAACCCCACUUCUCUUUGCUGGUGAUUGAUCCAGCAGUAAACAUGUGAUCCAGUUUGA